rnacentral:rRNA from 1 species
GAUGAACGCUGGCGGCGUGCCUAAUACAUGCAAGUCGAGCGAACAGACGAGGAGCUUGCUCCUCUGACGUUAGCGGCGGACGGGUGAGUAACACGUGGAUAACCUCCCUAUAAGACUGGGAUAACUUCGGGAAACCGGCGCUAAUACCGGAUAAUAUCUUGAACCGCAUGGUUCAAUAGUGAAAGACGGUUUUGCUGUCACUUAUAGAUGGAUCCGCGCCGCAUUAGCUAGUUGGUAAGGUAAAGGCUUACCAAGGCGACGAUGCGUAGACGACCUGAUAGGCUGAUAGCCCACACGGGAACUUGGCCGCCGUCCAGACUCCUACGGGAGGCAGCAGUAGGGAAUCUUCCGCAAUGGGCGAAAGCCUGGCGGAGCAACGCCGCGUGAGUGAUGAAGGUCUUCGGUUCGUAAAACUCUGUUACUAGUGAAGAACAAAUGUGGAAGUAACUAUGCACGGCGUGACGGUACCGAAUCAGAAAGCCACGGCUAACUACGUG